CCCUUAGAUGUUCUGGGCCGCACGCGUGCUACACUGAGUGGAUCAGCGGGUCAGGUUGCGCGAAAGUGUUUCCUAAUCUUUAAAUCCGCUCGUGAUGGGGAUUGACGGUUGCAAUUUUCCGUCAUGAACGAGGAAUACCUUGUAAGCGCGGGUCAUCAUCCCGCGCUGAAUACGUCCCUGCCCUUUGUACACACCGCCCGUCGCUCCUACCGAUUGAGUGGUCCGGUGAGGCUUUGGGAUCUGAGCGGAAAGAGCGUUUCGCUGUUUCUGCCCGGAAAACUCAGUCGAACCUUAUCAUUUAGAGGAAGGAGAAGUCCUAACA
rnacentral:rRNA from 1 species